CAUUAGGGGAGCUUGCAUCAUACAGGCUGAGAGGAAGGUGAUCCCUUCGACCCAUUGACCUGAUGCGGGUAAUGCCGUCGUAGGGAGGCGGGAAAA
rnacentral:ncRNA from 1 species